UCUCUGCCGGCUUCCCGCGGUGGAUGCCCUGCAGCGACAGCCGCCGGUAGUCGUCCCGGGCUUGCCGUGCGAGGGACCGUCUCUUCUCGUCCGCCGCCUUGGAUCUCCGCACUGCAACAGAGACAACAAGCGGGCAAAGCUCGUCCCAAGCUCUUACGGGAUUCCUGCCACUCGGGCUCGCUCUCGUCCGGUUUCUGCGGCGUGCUGCGGCUCCCGGCGCUGGGCUGGCUCUGCGGCGGCUCCUGGGGGGCCGGGGGCUCUUCUGCUGCAUUUCUCCUCUCUGCCUCCUUCACCUGUGAAAGGAAUGGUGUGUGCAGUGAUUUCUCCCAGGUUAUAACAAAGGAAGGGAAAACAAAUCUAUCGGAAGCCACAGGGAGCAUGUCCUGGCUGCCAGGCUGACCUGCUUUGUGUCACCUCCACAUUGUCCCACCGUGCGUGAGGAGCGUGGCAACGCGGGAGGAGACCAGU